GAUGAAGAACGCAGCGAAAUGCGAUAAGUAGUGUGAAUUGCAGAAUUCAGUGAAUCAUCGAAUCUUUGAACGCACAUUGCGCCCCUUGGUAUUCCAUGGGGCAUGCCUGUUCGAGCGUCAUUUGUACCUUCAAGCUCUGCUUGGUGUUGGGUGUUUGUCUCGCCUCUGCGUGUAGACUCGCCUUAAAACAAUUGGCAGCCGGCGUAUUGAUUUCGGAGCGCAGUACAUCUCGCGCUUUACACUCAUAACGACGACGUCCAAAAGUACAUUUUUACACUCUUGACCUCGGAUCAGGUAGGGAUACCCGCUGAACUUAAGCAUAUCAAUAAGCGGAGGA
rnacentral:misc_RNA from 1 species